rnacentral:sRNA from 1 species
GUAAGAGGACAACUUGCAAGCAUCGUUUCCUUCCUUUCACCGAGUGAGUUCCUGACCUUGAACCUAACUUGUCAAAUGUCCUGGUAAGUGCCUUUACCCACUGGGUCAUUUCUCCAGCCCGAUCCUGGGUUGUUUCACAGAGUACUCUGGAAGGUUUGUGAGGUUCUUUACUGAGCAAUUUCUGGGUGUCAGCUGAGGCUUCCUGCAUCUGAAUUGGUGUGAGGCCUAGCACUCUGCCAUACACAGGGACUCUGUCCUUCAUGUGCACUGUGUGCAGGCUCGAAGGCUUCUUCUGCUGCCAGUACUUAUGGUUCUCACAUGCUUUGGGCUGGCAUUGCCCAGCAUAGUCUGGCUGAGCUCUGUAGAUCUACUCUGUUGACCCUGUAGCCCAGUAAGUCAGUACAGAUACACCUCCAGAGGAGCAGGCAGAGAGACAGAGCUGGCUUCAGAGACUCCUGUAUAAAAGCCCUGGAGACCAUGCUCGAGCUUUACUGACCACUGCCCUGCCUUAACCCUGCAUAGACCUAGCUCUUUGCCUUGUGCCCUGACCCUUCUUUGCCUAUGACAGUCACUGUGGUGUAGCAAAAGACCAGGGCUCAGCUGCACAGACCCAAUUGCAGCUGUGUGCUCUUGGGAGCAUUGCUUUACCUCCGUGGGCCUGAGAAUUCUCACCAACUAGUAGAAACCAGAAGCUGAGCUUUUUUGCUGGUUUGUGGUAGGAAUCACUCAAGGAGACAGUGCUGGGUAUGUAUGUAUGUAGCAGGCAUUCAGGGAAAAUGAUUCCUUUCCUUACUUCUUCUGUCCUGAACUCUGCAUCACCGAUGAGUGGGAGUCUUGGCCAGAGGGAGGCCUUGACAUCAGCAUCCUGGGAUCACCAGCAUCUGAGACAGUCCAUAUGGCCCUGGCACUUUGUCAAGUACAGCAGAGAUAUAAAGGGCUUGGAGUGAAGGAGCUGGAGACUGGACAGUAGGAAGCCGACACGCUGGAAGAAGGUAUCUUAACAGAUUCUCUUCCCAGACUGGUUUAAUUGACAGAGGAGAAGGAGGAAGUGGGACGAGACAGAGAGCACAGCGUGCCUACAACCAGUGGACCCUGGAUGAAGCAAAGACAGGAAUCCAGCUCAGCUCUUCUUGCAACAUCUCUACAAAGUCGCGCUUUUCUAAAUAUGAUUUUAAAAUUAAAAUUCUAAAGAAUGCA